rnacentral:rRNA from 1 species
GAUGAACGCUGGCGGCGUGCCUAAUACAUGCAAGUCGAGCGAACGGACGAGAAGCUUGCUUCUCUGAUGUUAGCGGCGGACGGGUGAGUAACACGUGGAUAACCUACCUAUAAGACUGGGAUAACUUCGGGAAACCGGAGCUAAUACCGGAUAAUAUUUUGAACCGCAUGGUUCAAAAGUGAAAGACGGUCUUGCUGUCACUUAUAGAUGGAUCCGCGCUGCAUUAGCUAGUUGGUAAGGUAACGGCUUAGCAAGGCAACGAUGCAUAGCCGACCUGAGAGGGUGAUCGGCCACAUUGGAACUGAGACACGGUCCAGACUCCUACGGUAGGCAGCAGUAGGGAAUCUUCCGCAAUGGGCGAAAGCCUGACGGAGCAACGCCGCGUGAGUGAUGAAGGUCUUCGGAUCGUAAAACUCUGUUAUUAGGGAAGAACAUAUGUGUAAGUAACUGUGCACAUCGUGACGGUACCUAAUCAGAAAGCCACGGCUAACUACGUG